UACGUAGGGUGCAAGCGUUGCCCGGAUUUAUUGGGCGUAAAGGGCGCGUAGGCGGCUCGGAACGUCCGUUGUGAAAUCGCCCGGCUCAACUGGGCGGGGUCAGCGGAUACGGCCGAGCUUGAGCAAGCUAGGGGGCAAUGGAAUUCCCGGUGUAGUGGUGGAAUGCGUAGAUAUCAGGAAGAACACCGGUGGCGAAAGCGCUCUGCUAGGCCGCAACUGACACUGAGGGACGAAAGCUAGGGGAGCGAAUGGG
rnacentral:rRNA from 1 species